rnacentral:tRNA from 1 species
UGCGGGAUCAUAUAAUGGCAGUAUGCCUGACUCUGGAUUAGGUCGUCUUGGUUCGAAUCCAGGUCCCGCAG